rnacentral:RNase_P_RNA from 1 species
GAAGGGGCCCAGGAGACCGCCGGUGGCCGCCGUCCUCACGGAUGGCGGGCGCGGGAGGAAAGUCGGAGCUCCGCAGAGCAGGAGGCCGGGUAACGCCCGGUCAGCGCGAGCUGGAGGAAAGCGCAACAGAGAGAAGAACGCCCGGACGCGCCCUCGUGGAGACACGGGGCGCGCCGCCGAACUUGCCGGUCCCAUCCCCGCGGUCGCGGGCCGGCGAGGCAGGGGGGUCGAAAGGUCCCGGUGAGAUUGAAAGGGUGCGGUAAGAGCGCACCGGCGGUCCCGGUAACGGGAUCGGCCAGGUAAACCCCCUCCGGAGCAAGACCAAAGAGGGCCAGGACUGCUCGUCCGUUUGAGGUCCGGGUUGGUCGCUCGAGUCGUCCGGUAACGGCCGACCUAGAGGAAUGGUCUCCACCCAGGCGGCGGCGACUCCGCCAGGGAACAGAACUCCGCUUACGGGCCCCUUCGCCC